rnacentral:lncRNA from 1 species
CAAAAGCCAGUUUUUUUUUUUUACUGGAACAGGGUCCACAGCCCACACUCAGGGCAAGGAGGCCUCCCUGGGAGAGAGGUUUUUCUCUGUCACCACUGCCCCGUCUGCUUGGACCCACAGCCUGUGUUCUUGAGGGGCCACUGCCCGGCAGGGGGAGGGCAGACUCGAACCAGAUGGCCACACAGUCUCCCGGACCCGCCCCUCUGGACGUGCCAGGCCGUGCGGUGCUCCUGUGGGCGUGGGUGGGGCGGGAUCAGGUGCCUGGACAGGCACCCAUACUCCCACCCCGAGCUCUGUGUCACCCUGUUUACUCAGGCCUGCUCCCAGUGCAUCUUUCUUUGUGAGAUUGACCUUUGCACACGCAUUUGGGUCCUGCCUGGAAAGCUGUGCCCUCCAUGGCUGGCCCACUCCUGCCCACCCUGAGGCUGCUCUGACUCUGGAAAACAGAGCUUGUGGCAUUGGGCAUGCUGCAAAGGAGCUGUUCACACCGG